CCGAGCGCCUGCUCGCCGCGCGACCUACACACGCUUCCCGAUCACCGCAUCGUUUGACAUUUCAGACGCAUCGCGCGUCAACACCACGACAAACUAAAGUAACUACCGGAAUUGCUCCAGUGCUAUAAACUUUCCCUUAUUGAAUCUGAAUGAAUUUAAAGACGUUAAAAUUAUAUAGAUUUACAGAUAAUUAAAAAAAGUUAUUAAAGUUUGAAUAAGAAUCAGAGGAUUUUUAAAUAAUUAUGUAUAAAAGAUGUGGUAUGUGGCGUUGUUUUUGGGAAUAAAUUAUUAUGUGUUAAAAUAUUGAUAGUGAUAAGAGCUGUGACUUAAAAACGAACCUUUGGAAAGUUGCUCACGAGUUUACGGCUCGUUAAUUCUGCAGAUAGUGAAACCGAAAAGAGAUCUUUGCAGCGUCCGCUCAUCGAAGUGAUAAAAUUUAUGACGUACGAGUUAUGGUGACUACGGCUCCGGAAACAGUUAUUACCACAAUAAGAAAAUGAUCCGGUGGCGAGCACGAGGGAAGCAUAUCUCAGGAUGAGCGGGCAGCGUGUGGGGCAGAGCGUGGGGCGGUGCGCGAGCGCGAGUGCGCCGCGGAGAGCGUGAUGCGCUGCGGCUGGGGGGCGCCGGCCGCGCCCGCGC